GAUUGAUUGAUUGAUUGAUCAAUUAAAAUACAGACAUGAUUACAAGUAAACACAGUAAAAAAUCAUUCAGAAUGGAUUAUUCAAAGUUUUCUGGUUCUUAAAAAAGACUUAAGAAGUCUGAUUGUUUUCCUCAAGCAAUUAUGUGACACAUCCUUACGAUAUUGACUUAUCGUUCUCUGUAACUCUGUUUCCGGCGAAUACCUCCGUUCAACAGUAUCUAGAGUUAGUCAUUUAGUUAUGACAUUGCUUCGGUUUAAGCAGUACAAAUUUUUAUACUUCUAUUUUUAUUUAUUUAAUUACAAGAUAUAUUUUAAAGUAUGAGAUAAUAUACUUAAAAACAAUUAAAAUGUUACCAAAAAUCUUAUUCAUAGUUCUCAUAAACUACUGCAUCUUGGUGGUGAUAAGUGAAAAUAACAAAAAUAAACAAGAACAACUAUGUGCUGCCCAUCAAACAUGUAAAGACUGUAUUCAGACUUCGAAUUGCAUCUGGUGUGCCAAAGUCAUGAAACCUAGUACAAGCAGUGAUGUUGAACCAGUUCGAUGUAUUCCUCGAGAUAAAUACAAUCAAUACUGGUGUCCAGCAUCUCAGGUGAUUAAUGAAACCUCAGCUAUUCUUGUAGAAAAAGAUCUUCCACUUACUUCAAGAAAAGAUGCAGAACCGGUACAAGUAAAACCUCAAAAAAUACGAAUUCAUCUUAGAAAAGGUGAAGAGAUUCGAAUAAAACUACAGUAUACCCAAGCUGAAGAUUAUCCAGUUGAUCUCUAUUAUCUUAUGGAUCUUUCUGCAUCAAUGCAACCAUAUAAAAAUCAGCUUUCUAAAUUAGGUGGUAACCUUGCAAAAGCUAUGAAAGCAUUAACUGGUAACUUUCGUCUUGGAUUUGGAAGUUUUGUUGACAAGGUUGUGCUACCAAUGACAGAUACACAACCUGAUAAAUUAAAAGUACCUUGUUCUUAUUACAAUGAAUAUAAUAAAAAAGUCAACUGUGCACCUCCUUAUGGAUAUCAGCACCAAAUGUCAUUAUCUGAAGAUUCAAAUGCAUUCAUGAGGAACGUUGAUGCAGCACCUAUUUCAGGAAAUAUAGAUGCUCCAGAGGGAGGAUUUGAUGCUUUAAUACAAUCAAUAGUAUGUACAGAACACAUCGGCUGGAGACAGAAAGCACGUCGACUUCUUGUAUUCUCAACAGAUGCUAAUUUCCAUCUUGCAGGCGACGGAAAACUUGCUGGAAUAGUUGAACCGAAUGAUGGAUUAUGUCAUCUAGAUGAGAAUGGUAUUUAUACUUACUCAUUAGUUCAAGAUUAUCCAUCAAUAUCUCAGAUAAACAGAAAAGCACAGGAACAUAAUAUUCAUAUAAUCUUCGCUGUGGAUAAAAGUAAAAAUACAACGUAUCAGUUAUUAAGUCAGAGUAUUGUUGAUGCUUCAGUAGGUCUUAUUCAAAAGAAUGAUACAGAUAAUGUCAUUCAAAUAAUAACAGGAGAAUAUGAGAAACUAGUAGAGUCUGUUGAAUUAAUUGAUAAUGCACCUAAAUAUGUCAGUGUUCAAUACUUUUCCCAUUGCUUGAACGAUACCAAAGAAUUGAAACGUUCCAAGUGUGAAGGACUUCGAUAUGGUGAUGUUGUUGAUUUUAAUAUCACUUUAAAGCUUUUAGAGUGUCCAUCAGAUCGAGCACUCUGGAAUCAACAAUUUGAAAUAAAACCACGAGGUUUGAAUGAAAGUCUUAAAAUUGAACUAGAGUUGAUGUGUGAAUGUCCUUGUGACAAACCUGAUUACAAGACUUAUGAAGCAAAAUCAACACAUUGUAAUAAUCAUGGAGAUUUAGUCUGUGGAAUAUGUUCUUGUCACGAAGGUUACAAUGGCAAAUAUUGCGACUGCCAUGGAAAUAAUAAUAAAAUGUCUGAUGAUUCAAACUCCACGAUAACUUCAAAUUGUCGAGCUUCAGUUAAUGAUACUGUAGAUUGUAGUGGUCAUGGUAUAUGUAAAUGUGGUACUUGUGAAUGUGAAGUACGACCGAAUCCAACGGAAAGAUUUGGCGGUACAUAUUGUGAAUGUAACAACUUUUCUUGCCAACGUCAUAAUCGUAUACUUUGCGGUGGUAAUGGCGAUUGUGUAUGCGGCACAUGUGAUUGCUAUCCUGGCUGGAUUGGUGAGAGUUGUGGUUGCCAUGACAAUACUACUUGUUUUCCACCUUCAACAUCAGGAAAGCAGAAUACUGAGAUUUGCAGUGGUCAUGGUGAUUGUAUUUGUGGAAAAUGUCAUUGUAAACCUCAAAAUAACAUACUCUACUCAGGUGUUUACUGCGAAGAUUGUCCGACUUGCUCAGGCCAACAUUGUGAAAAAUUAGCAAACUGUGUCGAAUGUUUAUGGACAUCAUAUAGUUCAAGAGCAACAAAUGAUGGAACACAAUCUGAGGAUGAUAGUUGCAGCAGUUGCCAUGAUGAAAUAGACAUUGAAAGGAUAGAUAAAGUGGAGAUUAAUACGACAGAACAUGAAGCUGGUAUGCGUUUGUGUCGUGUUCCAACUGAUGAUGGUUGUGUAUUAGUUUACAAGUAUCAACUAGUGAGUAAUCGAGGUGACAUUUCUGUCUUCAAGAUUUUCGUUGAAGAACAUAAAGAUUGCCCGUCAGUUAUUCCAAUUGUUGGUGUUGCAAUCGGAGUAGUUGUUAGUACAGUUGUACUUGGUCUAGUUGGACUCAUCAUUUGGAAGAUUGUUACGUCAAUUCAUGAUCAACGUGAAUAUGCUAAAUUUGAAAAAGAACGUGCCAUGGCCAAAUGGGAACGAGGUGAAAAUCCACUUUAUAGAAAAGCAACAACGACAUUCCAAAAUCCAACAUUUGACGUAAAUACACGUAAAUAGAAUAAAAGCCUAAAAGUCAUUAAUAAUAUAAUAUCCAUCAGAAGGCAAAACAAGGUGCAGAUGUCUAAGAAUUGUGUAAAUCUUGAAUUUUCCCACACAAGGUGCAAACCGCAUCAAGUAAUGCUGUGACCACAUCACAAGCGGUAGCUGCGAGUAAUUUAACAUGCUCAUUUAGAUUAAAUAAGUGUAUGUAUACACUUAUACAUACUCAGUCAAGUGUUUCAGUUAAUCUCCAAUACAGAUGGAAAAGAUCUAAAAUUAUCUGAACACUAUUUGGAAUGGAUUCAACCAUCAGUGGAUAAUGGUGUGUAUAUGUGUGUUGUAACCCAUUUGAAAAAAUGAUAAGUGAGUUGUGCUAUGGAGAAGUAUAGAAUAUGAGAGAUACAUCAAGAAGUAGCGGCUCAAAGUACUGCAGGUGUAAAUGUAAUCAAGAAAGCCUCAAUUAGACCGUCACGCUGAGCAUUUCUCAUCUUCACGAAAAGUUUUUUCUCAUAUAUAUACUUAAUCUCUACACACUACAAAUCCUAACUCCAGGUAUGUAUACAUAUAUACAAACACUUCUGUUGUACCUAAGUUUUAUAUCAUUAAGGGACUUAUUAGUGUCAUGGCCAAGCACUUUAUUUCAAAUUAAUAUCAAG
rnacentral:misc_RNA from 1 species